GGCAGACUAACUGCUGUACCAAGUUUGUCCUCCUGUUCUCACCGUAGCUCCUCUCCUAUCGGUCACGCCCUCCAGUUAGCUUGCAGGUGGCUAUGUACUCAUUAGCGUCAAUGGCACUUUCUAUAAGACCGGCACCGGAGGUGGGCUAGUAAGUGAUCCCUAGGCUCCGUACGUCCUCCCUACACUGUGUUCGCUGUGCUGUCACCUAUGAAAGGUAUUUGGCUGUGUACCAGACGCUUCCGGGUAGUGUUUUGUUGAUCUACCGAAGGUCUUGACUGAAAAGACGCCGUGUACGCGCAGGUUGCACUUUCUAUUGGGAGAUGCGUUAAGGUUUGCGUACUGGAGAGAUACCAGGGAGUCCCAUUUCCAUUCAUGUUGAGUGCUGUAUUCCUAGAGGUAAAAGGAAACCGUGUUGUAUUGUAUCUGUAUUGGUUUAGGCUGUAUUUACCAUAAACAAUGGAUUUUAACUGUGUUUGUUUACUCCUUUAGAAAGAUUGCCACUGCUGCUUUGCCUCCUGUAGAUUUAAGUAAUUGUAGCUCUUGCCUCAUUUUGUUUUCUUUAUUUUGUUUUGUUUGUCCGAUUGAUUUGGCCUAAACAUAGGCGUGGCUGGUUUCAUUUAUUUGCCCUCCGUCGUGGUGUGUCGGCAACAGGUGUGGUAUUGGCUGCCCCAGUAUUUUGCUGCGGUAAUGUGUGAUGGUAGUAAUGCUAACAUCUAGCUUUCUUGACCCAGCCAGUUAUUGCCAAUAGCAACCAUAUCUUCCCUUCUCCCCUCCAGAGAAACAGAGUGUUGCAGCUGUUCCGCGGGGCAGGUCGCCGGAUCUGAGUCCUCCUCUUCGUGUACUUCACACAGUAUUUGUAGUGGUAACGUGCACCUCACUAUUUGCAGUGAUCACUCCUUGUAGUACCUGUGCCUAUGCGAGCGUGUGUGUGUGUGUGUGUGUGUCUGUGAAUAGGCAACAGAAUCCGCAGCACGGGUGGUGUGUCGGUCUCACUCCUCUUCCAGGACAGGUAACCGCUCCCGAACAGCUGAUCAAAUUAACCCUACUUGAUUACAUGUAAUAUUCCUGGUGGCAGCCACUACCUUCCUCUUGCUGGCCUAUUGGGCCUAAUAUGUACUGCACUCCAUCCUGAGAAUCAAACCCAAGACUGACUUUUUAACUGAAUUGCUUGUGAAUAAAUAUUGUUUAUUUUUUCAUUGAAAUACCACGUCUCUGUCAUUACUGGCUUAUCUGUGUGCGAGAGCCCUCUUGUCUAAAUCAAGGUGUUGGAGGUCUAGCUAAAAUACAUCUUGGUGUGAAAGGCCCCAAGUGGCGUAGUCGAGCACUCUAUAGUCAAGACUCUUGUCAUCUGACU